GAGCCAUCCCUGUGGGCACCGGGGCGUGUGUGUCUGGAUUUGGCAGUUGCCCUGCAGCUUUGCAGGAUGAUACCGUGGGGUGGGGCAGGGCGCAGUGGCUCACGCCUGUUAUCCCAGCACUUUCGGAGGCUGAGGCCAGAGGCUCUCCUGAGCUCAGGAGUUCAAGACCAGCCUGGGGAACAUAAUGAGACCUCAUCUCUCAAAACAAACAAAAGAACAAAUUAGCCAGGUGUGGUGGUGUGCACCUGUCCUCCCAGCUACUCAGGAGGUAGAGGCAGGAGGAUCGCUUGAGCCAGAAAGGUCCAAGCUGCACUGAGCUGGGCCACUGAACUCCAGCCAGGAUGACAG
rnacentral:lncRNA from 1 species